ensembl:lncRNA
UUUUUACAAUGAUGGUUCUACUAUGGAACCAGUUUGACAUGUUCAGGUGUUCUUUGUGUGAAAACUCAGAGAUUUCAGGUAUCAGAAGGUGGUUUUCAACCUUCUUUGUUAACUUUCUGCUUCAACUUUAAAUUAAAUUUCCUUCACUAAGCCAGCCCUCUGGACUUCCAGUAAGCUGUGUUCCUAUUGGCUGUCCAGGUGGCUGCUUGGUGUUAUCAGGAACACCUGAGCAGCUCAGUGUCUUCCUGCUUUAUUUAGCUGCAGACAAACAUUUCCUCUGCUUCUCUUCACCACUGAACCAGGUUUGGCUCCAUUGCUUUAGUUUGUUCUUUAGGCGUUGGCUUGCAGCUUCCAGCAGUAAAAUUGUCUUUAAUGUGUUUCUUGGUGUGUUUUAGGGCUUUGUACUGGAUAGUUGUCUUGGUAAAUGUGGUUCUUUAGCCACAGUUAGCACAUGGUGCUAAUGUGUGCAGUGAUUAGUGGAUUUGGUACAGCUGAGUUGUGUCUUUAUCUUGGCUGUAGUGAGUCUUUAGAGGUUUUUGGUCAGACACAUUCUGUAUUCUUGUUUGAGAACCAACGUUGGUUGUCCAGAAGGUAAGAGUUCCUGUCCUGAUUCUCUGUUCUCAGAGGUUCUCUGGUAGGCUGCAGGAGACUUUAGCAUUUGGGUUGUGCUAGUUUGGUUUUUGUAUGGUUUCAUUUGGAUGACUAUCUUGAGGCCCCUCCAUGUGGUUUAGUGAGGUUUUCUGGAACAGUUCUACAAAGCAACCUGCAGCAGAAGAGACUUUGAGAGUUUUUAGGAAGUUCGGGAGAGCAGACUUUAGAGCAGCAGAAACAUUUGUCAGCAGUUUGAGCAGGAGAAGGUGAGCUUCAGAGUAGAAAUGAGACAGAAACCUUCUUGACCUGUGUGGUGAGGUCCUGUACCAAGAGUUUGAGCAGGUUGUGAAGAGUCUGUAGUUCUUUGGUCUGAAAGCACAAGAAGAGUCGACUCCUUAAAGGAGAAAACAGGAGAUAUUGUUGGUUCUUCUGUGGCUCUACAGUUUCCAGUUUCCUUAGACUGAAUAUCAAGUUUAUAUUUUAAAUGAUUUAACAUGUGAGCCCAAGAAGACGUCAAUAAACUCCCUCAAUCCCCUGGACACAACAUAUUUUAUUACCAUGUUAAAUCUUUUUUUUUAAAAAAUAUGUUUCUGAGUUUUAAUCAUAGUUUUAGCAUAGUUUUUUUUCUUUGCUUGUUUAGUUUUGUCAUGUGUGUGAAAG